rnacentral:tRNA from 1 species
GGAUUGUGUCUCCGUGGCAGAGUGCUUGCCUAGCAUGCAUGAGGCACUGGGUUCGAUCCUCAGCACCA